CUACGGGAGGCAGCAGUGAGGAAUAUUGCACAAUGGGGGGAACCCUGAUGCAGCAACGCCGUGUGGAGGAUGACGCAUUUCGGUGUGUAAACUCCUUUUAUAUGUCAAGAAAAUGACGGUAGCAUAUGAAUAAGCACCGGCUAACUCCGUGCCAGCAGCCGCGGUAAUACGGAGGGUGCAAGCGUUACUCGGAAUCACUGGGCGUAAAGGACGCGUAGGCGGGUUGGAAAGUCAGGUGUGAAAUCCUACAGCUUAACUGUAGAACUGCACUUGAAACUUCUAAUCUAGAGUAUGGGAGGGGAGAUGGAAUUAGUGGUGUAGGGGUAAAAUCCGUAGAUAUCACUAGGAAUACCUAAAGCGAAGGCGAUCUCCUGGAACAUUACUGACGCUAAGGCGUGAAAGCGUGGGGAGCAAACAGGAUUAAUACCCGUGUAGUC
rnacentral:rRNA from 1 species